UUUUAUGAGAGUUUGAUCCUGGCUCAGGACGAACGCUGGCGGCGUGCCUAAUACAUGCAAGUCGAACGCAUUUUCUUUCACCGUAGCUUGCUACACCGGAAGAAAAUGAGUGGCGAACGGGUGAGUAACACGUGGGUAACCUGCCCAUCAGCGGGGGAUAACACUUGGAAACAGGUGCUAAUACCGCAUAAUUCCAUUUACCGCAUGGUAGAUGGAUGAAAGGCGCUUUUGCGUCACUGAUGGAUGGACCCGCGGUGCAUUAGCUAGUUGGUGGGGUAACGGCCUACCAAGGCUGCGAUGCAUAGCCGACCUG
rnacentral:rRNA from 1 species